AGGAAAGUCCAUCAUCUUCCUCACAGUCAGACGAACCAUUUUCAUGGUGCUUCCUGUCGAGAAAUUGGAAAAGGCAAAAUUUGGAAGCUUCAAUGUUCCUCAUUCAGCUCAACCAAUACAGAGCAGUUGGUACUGGUUUGCCUUGUAAUGAAGGUCGAAUCCCCAAUAUGUUGGUGAUUAAAGGCACUUUGUGCUAGUUAAAUCUGGACGGAGUUGCCGGCACCUCUAAUAAUCGAUGACAAAUUAAGUCAUCCUCGUUUUUAUAAUAGCUGGAACCCCACAUAAGCUCGAUCUCUUAUCUUAACAUGAUUUCUCUAAUGAUGCAUGGAUACAAGAUUAAAAGCUGAAGAACCUCAUCAAUUUAUGAGUGUAACUCAGGACUGUGACACUUUGAGCACUUUCUCUAGCUCCUUGCUUUUUACCUUUUCUAGCAGCUUUCAUGACCCUUGGAGAUAAAUCAACAUCUUUGGUAAUGUGUAGCAAUGCAUUUUCAGUGUCUUCUCCCUCCAUGAGAGCCUCAACCUAGUGCUCAGUAUCACCAUCUGGGACUCAUCUAUCUGCACAGCAGUAGGUAGCAAAACUAUUGCCCCAUUAUUAUUUUCUACCAUUUGAUCAUCAUUA